AUUGGCGGCGGGCAUCCAAGUGCAAGUGCCUGAUAGCAUCCAAUCUUGGAAACUAAGUAGUCCUGUGCCUGGUUUUUACUUGGAUGGGAGACCAGUUUGGAAGACCAGGGGCCGCUAGCC
rnacentral:rRNA from 12 species